rnacentral:rRNA from 1 species
GUGUCAGCCGCCGCGGUAAGACGUAGGGAGCGAGCGUUGUCCGGAUUCAUUGGGCGUAAAGAGCGCGCAGGCGGCUUGGUAAGUCGGAUGUGAAAACCCGGAGCUCAACUCCGGGCGUGCAUCCGAAACUGCCCGGCUAGAGGUAGGUAGGGGAGAUCGGAAUUCCUGGUGUAGCGGUGGAAUGCGCAGAUAUCAGGAGGAACACCGGUGGCGAAGGCGGAUCUCUGGGCCUUACCUGACGCUCAGGCGCGAAAGCUAGGGGAGCAAACAGGAUUAGAUACCCUCGUAGUCC